CUGUUGGUGUUGGUAUCACAGACUACAUGACUGUUUGUUUUACACUGGAGGGAACAAUUCAAAACGCUGCUACCAAAGUGUUGUAGGAGACCUAUUAUGCUUAUUUUCAGGGCCAUAUUGAUAGAAAUAUAUAAUAUUGAGGUCUAGUGCAAUAGAUUAAUGUGCUUUAAUGUUCAAAACACACAGUAUUUGUCGUGUACUGCUCAUUGCUGCAGCACCUCUGUCUGAAACGCUGUUUGGGCUUAUGUCCUGCCUCCCCAGCAGCCCAGUCUGCUCUGAUUGGUCAGCUUGCUCAGUCUGUUGUGAUUGGUGCAACGCUUAGAGCGUGUAUCGGAAACGUCACGCCCCUUACCUUAUCCGACUUCACCUCCGGAGGCUGACGCAGACAACAGUUGAGGCUAAGCUAACAACAGCAGCUGUUCGCCAUUAUCAAUUUGAGUGAAGAAGCACGAGCCGAUGGACUCUGAAGCACUGUCGCAACAAAGACUGGAGCAGGACGUUUCACAGUGGUUUUGGGGUAAUGAACCAGGUUCCAGUUCAUCCUACAUGUUUGAUACACCAUCCAGGCCUGGAGUCUGACUGUUUGAAUCCGUACACCCCACAGAACAUCCACAACAUUUACAGGCGUCCAUCCCGCCCUGUGUUAUAGUCCGGAUAUGCCAGGAGUUUCCUGAUCUGGCUGGUCACUGUGCUGGCCUCGAGCUGCCCCUUGGCUCAAGUGAGAGACGUGUAAGGCAACCACUUCC